rnacentral:rRNA from 1 species
GCUAACUCCGGGCAAGAUGCCGUGGUAAUACGUAGGGGGCAAGCGUUGUCCGGAAGCAUUGGGCGGAAAGCGCGUGUAGGCGGCUGGCUAAGUCCGCUCUGAAAGCCGGGGGCUCAACCCCGGGAGGCGGGUGGAUACUGGUCAGCUCGAGUCCGGAAGAGGAGUGUGGAAUUCCUGGUGUAGCGGUGAAAUGCGCAGAUAUCAGGAGGAACACCGAUGGCGAAGGCAGCACUCUGGGACGGUACUGACGCUGAGACGCGAAAGCGUGGGGAGCAAACAGGAUUAGAUACCCGGGUAGUC